rnacentral:rRNA from 1 species
GACGAACGCUGGCGGCGUGCUUAACACAUGCAAGUCGAGCGGUAAGGCCCUUUCGGGGGUACACGAGCGGCGAACGGGUGAGUAACACGUGGGUGACCUGCCCUUAGCUCUGGGAUAAGCCUGGGAAACUGGGUCUAAUACCGGAUAUGACUCCAUAACGCAUGUUGUGGGGUGGAAAGCCUUGUGCGGCUAGGGAUGGGCCCGCGGCCUAUCAGCUUGUUGGUGGGGUGAUGGCCUACCAAGGCGACGACGGGUAGCCGGCCUGAGAGGGCGACCGGCCGACACUGGGACUGAGACACGGCCCAGACUCCUACGGGAGGCAGCAGUGGGGAAUCUUGCGCAAUGGGCGAAAGCCUGACGCAGCGAC